UGUAAGCAUGAGACUUUUUGGUA
rnacentral:snRNA from 1 species